GACGAACGCUGGCGGCGUGCUUAACACAUGCAAGUCGUACGGUAAGGCCCUUUCGGGGGUACACGAGUGGCGCACGGGUGAGUAACACGUGAGUAACCUGCCCACAACUUUGGGAUAACGCUAGGAAACUGGUGCUAAUACUGGAUAUGUGCUCCUGCUGCAUGGUGGGGGUUGGAAAGCUCCGGCGGUUGUGGAUGGACUCGCGGCCUAUCAGCUUGUUGGUGGGUAGUGGCCUACCAAGGCGGCGACGGGUAGCCGGCCUGAGAGGGUGACCGGCCACAUUGGGACUGAGAUACGGCCCAGACUCCUACGGGAGGCAGCAGUGGGGAAUAUUGCACAAUGGGCGCAAGCCUGAUGCAGCAACGCCGCGUGCGGGAUGACGGCCUUCGGGUUGUAAACCGCUUUCAGCAGGGACGAAGCUUUUUGUGACGGUACCUGCAGAAGAAGCACCGGCUAACUACGUG
rnacentral:rRNA from 1 species